rnacentral:ribozyme from 14 species
CUUUUUUUUUAUAUAGUUUUUUUUUUUUUUUCCUUUUUU